AGUCGGUCCCCUCGCAACGACAAGUUGUGAACUCCGCCAGGCCUGGAAGGGAGCAACGGUAGCAGCAGCCUCGUGUGCAAGGUGUGGCUGGUUUGG
rnacentral:SRP_RNA from 1 species